rnacentral:tRNA from 1 species
UCCCAGCUGGCUCAGUGGUAAAGAAUCUGCCUGUAAUGCAGGAGACGUGGAUUCGAUCCCUGGGUUGGGAA